UCAGCCCGUGGUACUCAAAUGUGGAAGCACUCUUCUGGUGUCCAGGUGGAAAGUGCUUCAACAUUAGAGGGUCAUUGGUGAG
rnacentral:pre_miRNA from 1 species